rnacentral:rRNA from 1 species
AUUGAACGCUGGCGGCAGGCUUAACACAUGCAGGUCGAGCGGAGAGAGGUAGCUUGCUACUGAUCUUAGCGGCGGACGGGUGAGUAAUGCUUAGGAAUCUGCCUAUUAGUGGGGGACAACAUUUCGAAAGGAAUGCUAAUACCGCAUACGUCCUACGGGAGAAAGCAGGGGAUCUUCGGACCUUGCGCUAAUAGAUGAGCCUAAGUCGGAUUAGCUAGUUGGUGGGGUAAAGGCCUACCAAGGCGACGAUCUGUAGCGGGUCUGAGAGGAUGGUCCGCCCCACUGGGACUGGGACACGGCCCAGACUCCUACGGGAGGCAGCAGUGGGGAAUAUUGGACAAUGGGCGGAAGCCUGAUCCAGCCGUGCCGCGUGUGUGAAGAAGGCCUUAUGGUUGUAAAGCACUUUAAGCGAGGAGGAGGCUACUUUAGUUAAUACCAAGAGAUAGUGGACGUUACUCGCAGAAUAAGCACCGGCUAACUCUGUGCCAGCAGCCGCCGUAAUAC